rnacentral:rRNA from 1 species
UACGUAGGGUGCAAGCGUUGUCCGGAAUUAUUGGGCGUAAAGAGCUCGUAGGCGGUUUGUCGCGUCGGCUGUGAAAACUCGGGGCUCAACCCCGAGCCUGCAGUCGAUACGGGCUAGCUAGAGUGUGGUAGGGGAGAUCGGAAUUCCUGGUGUAGCGGUGAAAUGCGCAGAUAUCAGGAGGAACACCGGUGGCGAAGGCGGAUCUCUGGGCCAUUACUGACGCUGAGGAGCGAAAGCGUGGGGAGCGAACAGG